rnacentral:rRNA from 1 species
GAUGAACGCUAGCGGCAGGCCUAAUACAUGCAAGUCGAGGGAGAAACUGAACUUCGGUUCAGCGGAAACCGGCGAACGGGUGCGUAACACGUAUGCAACCUACCCACAACUGAGGGAUAGCCCGAAGAAAUUUGGAUUAAUACCUUAUAAUAUGUACUCAUCGCAUGAUGAGAAUCUUAAAGCUCCGGCGGUUGUGGAUGGGCAUGCGGCCUAUUAGUUUGUUGGUGAGGUAACGGCUCACCAAGACUACGAUAGGUAGGGGGUCUGAGAGGAUGAUCCCCCACACUGGUACUGAGACACGGACCAGACUCCUACGGGAGGCAGCAGUAGGGAAUAUUGGACAAUGGGCGAAAGCCUGAUCCAGCCAUGCCGCGUGCAGGAAGACGGCCCUAUGGGUUGUAAACUGCUUUUAUAUAGGAAGAAACCCCUGAUCGUGCAUCAGGGCUGACGGUACUAUAAGAAUAAGGACCGGCUAACUCCG